rnacentral:tRNA from 1 species
GCUUUAUUAGUAUAAUUAUGUAUGUUUGCCUUCCAAGUAAAAGGAUUACUUAGUAAAUAAAGUA